rnacentral:rRNA from 1 species
GAUGAACGCUAGCGGGAGGCUUAACACAUGCAAGUCGAGGGGCAGCACGAGGUAGCAAUACUUUGGUGGCGACCGGCAGACGGGUGAGUAACGCGUAUGUAACCUACCCUGUACUGGGGGAUAACCCGGAGAAAUUCGGACUAAUACCCCAUAGAGAUAUAGAGAGGCAUCUUGAAAUAUUUAAAGUUUCGACGGUACGGGAUGGGCAUGCGUAACAUUAGCUAGUUGGUAAGGUAACGGCUUACCAAGGCUUUGAUGUUUAGGGGUCCUGAGAGGGUGAUCCCCCACACUGGUACUGAGACACGGACCAGACUCCUACGGGAGGCAG